rnacentral:lncRNA from 1 species
AUGAGAUUUUGAUCACAGUGAUACAGUUCCCUGGAGAUUAUAGCCAAUAGCUACCUGCUUGAUAUUAUAGAAUAUUGUAGAUAAAAGAAAGAAGUUUUUAAAAGUUACUUUGAUAUAAUUUGAGUUUAUUAACUAUUAAGCAUGAAAUUCAUUCUUUUCUAGGAACCGCCAAUAAUUGUGCCUCCUUGAAUUCAAUAUUCAUUCCAACAAGAAGAUAAAACCAAAUUGCAGCAAGUCAUAGAAGUUCCCUUUUCAUUUUCAUUUCUUGCCAGACUAUUAUCUUACUUUAUUUUAACUCUUUCUUCAACUUUAUUACUUCUAACUAUUUACACCUGUGAUAGAAAAAAAGUGGGAAAUAAGUCCUCUGAUGAGAUAUUGCCACUAUGUGUUAAGAGCUUUGACAGCAGAGAGACUAAAGCAAGUGGCCUGGGAGUGGAAAUAUCUUGAAAGCAGCAGAGACAAAUCCCAAAAGAGACCACAUUCAGAGCCAAACUCCACUGAGUUUGGAAGGAAAGCAGAAGCUCUCGUCUUCAGAAAGUUUGAAGAAUCACCUGAAUUAAUUCGAAUGAAAAUCUCAUCAGAUCCCUUC